AACAAUGAUGUUGCUGACUAUCCAGCAGUUGAGGAAAAACCUGAAGAACCAGCGAUUGAGAAAAAACCUGAAGAACCAAUGGCUAAGGAGAAACUUGAAGAACCAAUUGUUGAGGAUAAACCUGAAAAAUCAGUGAUAGAGGAGAAAUCUGAAAAACUAGCAACUGAAGAAACACUUGGAGAGCAAGCAGGGGAGGAAACACCUGAAGCACUAGCAGUUGAAGAGAAACCUGACAAAUCAACAGUUGAAGAGACAGUUGAAGAACUAGCUAUUGAACAGAAACCUAAAAAAACAGCAGUUGAAAAAGAGAAACCUGAAGCCGUAACUCUCCUGGAAAAGGUGAUCAAGCACUGUCACAGAGAUUCCUUGCUCUAUACGUGCAAGGAAUU
rnacentral:lncRNA from 1 species